UGUUCUAGCAACAAACAAAGCACAGAACAGAGUUUGAGGAAAUAUGAAUUUGGGGAUCAUUGGAAUCUUGGAAUCGAGGACCGUGCGAAGCCUCGGGUGUACAAUGAAGAGCACGAGAACAAGGAUCUUCAACAACGUGUCGCCGCAGCAAGAAACAAAAAUUGAAGAACUGGCUGUCGAAAAAAUGGAACGGCGAUGGAAUCUGCUUCACGUCACGUGCCUAAAAGUAGGAAAAGAUUCUUUCUUGCUUCUUCUUCGUCCAUAUGCACACUGUUUCUGUUGUUAUUUAUCUAUUCUAAAGCGGGGUUAACACUGUUGGGCUUCGGUUUUCAACAUUAGAGUUCUUCUCUUUUGCUGAUUGCUUCAAGUAUUAAUUUUUUUGGUCGCUUUUGUCUUGCUGUUUAGGUUUCACACAUAUACAAACGAGUUGCAGCUUAAAGUGUUGUCGUAAAUGGUUCUGUAAUUGGCGGGUAAAAAUAGGAAAAAUUGGAAGAGCUUGAGACAAUAGAUAAUAUUUCAGUCAUAUGCAUAGAGUGACAAUGAAUUCGAUAAGUUUUACUUCCAAAAGAAGUACAUUGAAGAUGGAGCAUGAAAAAGGUGAUUUUGAUGUCAACGAUUAUGGUGAGGAGGAUGAGGAGAAUCAAGGAGAAGAGGGAAAAAAUCGAGAUGAGGGAACAGUUGAGGAAGACCAAAGUGGAUGGAAUAAUGAUGAGAUGGAAUAACUUGAGAAAGUGUAUAAGGAUCUUCAUCACCAGGGAUGUGAUAGGUGGUAGUAGUAUGCAGUGAGAGUGGUUCCCACUUUUCGGCAACCAGUUGGGUUGAGAUUGUAGCUGAAGAUUUGAAGUUUAUCAUGAAAGUCAGACUAGAUUGGAAAGGAGAUUUUGGAAGUCCAGAGAAGCAGGGGUGAGCCAGAGAUGGGGAAAACAUGAUGGGGAAGAACAAGGAUCUUCAAGAACGUGCCAUCGCAUCAACAAACAGAGAUUGAAGAAGUGGCUUCAGAAAUAGUGGAACGGCAAUAAAAUCACGUCACACGCCUGAAAGCAGGAAAAGAUUCUUUUUUUUUCUUCUUCUUCCUCCAAAUGCAUACUGUUAGUUAUUUAUUUUAAAGUGGGGCCAACACUAUGGGCUUCAGGUUUGAACAUUAGUGUUCUUUUCUUUUGUUGGUUGCUUUAAGUAUUCAUUUUUUUUGUUGUUAUUUGUUUUGUUGUUUAGAGUUUCAGACAUAUACAAACGAGUUGCAGCUAAAAGUGCUGUCGUAAAUGGUUCUGUAAU